UACAGAGGUGGCAAACGUUGUCCGGAUUUAUUGGGUGUAAAGGGCAUGUAGGUGGUUUUGUAAGUCAAAGGUGAAAUGGCCCGGCUCAACCAGGUCAUUGCCUUUGAAACUGCAGGACUUGAGUACGGAAGAGGAAAGCGGAAUUCCCAGUGUAGCGGUGAAAUGCGUAGAUAUUGGGAGGAACACCGGUGGCGAAGGCGGCCCCCUGGACCGGUACUGACGCUGAGGCGCGAAAGCGUGGGGAGCAAACGGG
rnacentral:rRNA from 1 species